GCUGAAGCUGCGUCAUCACAGUGGCCACAGGGGCACGCUGACCACGUCCCCCCUGCCGCCUGGCCCUACAGAAAGCUCUGGGUUCUCACCCAUUUCCUAAGUUUGGUUUCCAAGCCACCGAUCAAUUUUAAGAACUCUGAUGUCCUUCUAAUAAACGUCUUUAUGCUGAAGAUGGCCAGAGUUUGUUUCUUGCUGGCAACCAGGAAUUCUGAGUGAGACGUAAAGAACUCAAGGGAAGAGGCAAGUUGUGCAUUAACCAAGCGUCCUGUUCAGGUUUUUGUAGCCAACCUUCAAGAUGGCCCCCAAUGAUUCUUUCAUGUUGGAAUUCAUGCCACGUGCAGUCCCCUCCCACACUGAAUAGGGCUGACGUGUGUAACCAACAAGAUAUUGCAGAAAUGAUGGAGUGUGAUGUCCAAGACUAUGUCAUAAAAGACGUUACAGCUUCCACCUUGCUCUCUCUUGGAUCCCUUUUCUGGAAGAAGCCAGCUGCCAUGUUGUGAGAACACUCAAGCAGCCUUACAAGAGGUCCGCGUGGUGAGGAACUAAGUUUCUUGCCAAUAGGCAGCAUGAAUGGGGCAGUCAUACAAGUAAGCCAUCUUGGAAUCAGAUCCUCUGGCCCCAAACAAACCUUCAGAAGACCACAGCAUAGUGAGGGACCAGGACCUGGAACCACUUAAGUCGUCCCUGAAUUUCUUAUCAACAGACACUGUGUGAGGCAAAUAAUGAAGCAUCAGAUGGGGAGUGCCCCAGCCAGGUAGACAGAGCUGAAGUGUGGAGUGAGAAGACCCAGAUGGAGGAAAGGGACCAGGAAAGCAGGCGGCCUCUAGAAGUUGCAAAAGGCAAGGAAGCAGAUUCACCCCGGGGCCUCCAGAAGGAAUGCAGCCCUGCCAAUACCUUGAUUUUAGACCUGUAUUGGACCUCUGACCUACAUAAAGUUCUGUUUCAGGUCUGUGAACAAAGGUGCACAUUGGCAGCCAGG
rnacentral:lncRNA from 1 species